CUACGGGUGGCUGCAGUGGGGAAUUUUGGACAAUGGGGGCAACCCUGAUCCAGCCAUGCCGCGUGAGUGAAGAAGGCCUUCGGGUUGUAAAGCUCUUUCAGCCGGGAAGAAAUCGCAUGGGUUAAUACCCUGUGCGGAUGACGGUACCGGAAUAAGAAGCACCGGCUAACUACGUGCCAGCAGCCGCGGUAAUACGUAGGGUGCGAGCGUUAAUCGGAAUUACUGGGCGUAAAGCGUGCGCAGGCGGGUGCUUAAGUCAGAUGUGAAAUCCCCGGGCUUAACCCGGGAAUUGCAUUUGAACUGGGUGUCUAGAGUGCGUCAGAGGGGGGUGGAAUUACACGUGUAGCAGUGAAAUGCGUAGAUAUGUGGAGGAACACCAAUGGCGAAGGCAGCCCCCUGGGAUGACACUGACGCUCAUGCACGAAAGCGUGGGGAGCAAACAGGAUUAGAUACCCGAGUAGUC
rnacentral:rRNA from 1 species